AGUUUGAUCAUGGCUCAGAACCAACGCUGGUGGCAGGCUUAACACAUGCAAGUCGAACGAAGGCUUCGGACUUAGUGGCAGACGUGGUGAGUAACGCGUGGGAACAUACCUUUCGGUACGGAACAACAGUUGGAAACGACUGCUAAUACCGUAUACGCCCUAUGGGGGAAAGAUUUAUCGCCGAGAGAUUGGCCCGCGUUAGAUUAGCUAGUUGGUGGGGUAAUGGCCUACCAAGGCGACGAUCUAUAGCUGGUCUGAGAGGAUGAUCAGCCACACUGGGACUGAGACACGGCCCAGACUCCUACGGGAGGCAGCAGUGGGGAAUAUUGGACAAUGGGGGCAACCCUGAUCCAGCCAUGCCGCGUGAGUGAUGAAGGCCCUAGGGUUGUAAAGCUCUUUCAGCGGAGGAGGAUAAUGACGUUACUCGCAGAAGAAGCCCCGGCUAACUUCGUGCCAGCAGCCGCGGUAAUACGAAGGGGGCUAGCG
rnacentral:rRNA from 1 species